UCGACCACCGGCGUUGACGCCUUGAUAACGUUAGAUUUACGUAGCUUCCAGCGAUAAUCGGAACUGCUCGCUGGAUAACUACAGCUGGCAAUAAGGAUUUGGAGGUAUAAAAGGUGCAAGGUACACUCGGGAAGAGACUGGAGUUUCGGUUAGCCCAUAAAUAACCCUACUUUCUGUUGCUAAACCUAAUUCACAAUGAGAAGAAGCAUAGCUCUUUGUUGGAAAGGCCUAAGAUCCUACUGUACUGACGCCGGAGAUGGCUUUCAGAGCUCCAAACUCAAAAUAUUUGAUCGCCAUCUUAAGCGCGUGCAACGUGAUAGAGCAGCGUGGUUGAUGAAGCCCAAGGAUUCUCUUGUUGAUACUGUGGCUGAGAAUCUACUGGAUCGGUUAGA